rnacentral:rRNA from 1 species
AUGGUCCUCGCCUGCCGUACCAGGCACGCGCGUGCGUGCGUCCACCGCCGCGGGCGGCGCAGCCACGCACCACCGAUCCUAUCCCCAGUCCCCCGUGUCGCGAGGCCCAGGAUCCGUACGUCUCGCUCGCGGUCGGUCGACAUGAGAGACAACGACGCCCCGCCACCGCGCGCCACGCAGCCAACGGAGGAGCGAGGCCACGGAGCCACGCGCCCUCGCCGCCGGGGCACACGUCGUCGGCCGAGGCCUACCUAUGCGCGCGCGGCGCGUCGAGCGGCGCGCGAGACCGAUCGGUCGAUCGUCACGCGUCUUUCCACGAGCUGGGACUCGAGUCCAGCGCUGCCGCCACGGGCCGGCGCGCGAUUUGUGCUCGGACGAUCGAUCACCGCGCCUGUACAGUGA